UGCUAUGGCAGCUGUGCGCGGGAGAUCUUCGGAUCUGCCGGGGUUGGGAUGGACCGGUUCGCCAACCCGCGUACAGCUGCCACCCUA
rnacentral:antisense_RNA from 1 species